rnacentral:lncRNA from 1 species
UCGAGGGCAGCGUAGCUUGGUUAGUAGGAGUAACGGCGCGGUCGAGGAGGAGGAACAUGGUCACUUGGAUCCGAGCAAGUCUCCUGAUUUAUCUUUGUCAGUUUUUGGCACCUAUAAGUUCGGGCAGUGACGAGGCUAAAUUACACGAAGGAAAGACGAGAGAAAAAAGGGGCGCUGUGUAUCCUGUUGGAACCGUCUUGCAGGCAUGGAUUUAAUGGUCAAGAAUGUAUCCUCAAAAGCAUAUGCGAAAUAGCGGGACGGAAAUCCGAAAAGGACGAUCUGGGCCACAGCUUUCUUCAACUUCUUUUCAAGUGAGUUUCUCUGUAUUACGUACAUUUUUUUGAAAAUUCUACCCUCAAUUAGACGAAGCUAUGCAGAGUGUAUGAACGUUAAAAAAUAGAAUGGAAAACCCAAUCUCGAUUAACUUUUAUUGAAAUUUGUUUUAUGAAAAGUAAGAAAAGGAAGAAAGACCCAAAAGUAAAUGCCAUUCACACAUUUUCAAAUUAUACAGUGAAUGUCUACGGAAUUUCUGCACCGGUCAUUUCGCAGUGAACAAAUGUCCGUUAUUCAGAAAUGUCCUCUUAAUCUAUACCAACCCGUUGUUUUAAAACAAAGCAGUUUAAUUUGUUGUAGGAAGCUCAUUCAAUUUAUUGUUUUUUUUAUGUGAAAAAAAUGAGGAAAUACUUACUCAUAAGAAAGAAGAAGACAACGGAUUUACACGUUAAUAAGGUACAGGCAUACGUUGUGUAACACACCUUGUAUGCACAUCAGUUUAUGCAUGCUUUCUGUUUGUUUUUUUUGCAAGGCCAAGGUUUCUAGGAAAUUGCACAGACGCAAAAUGCACACUUAUCAAGGAGGCAAGAGUAGCGGGCAUCCUCCAUGUUGACUGCAACUUCAAGUACAAAAUGUGUCCAACAUCUUUUUUGGAUCUAAUUACAUCAUAAUCAAUUUGGUAAAUUAAAUUCGCACCCUUUUAAUUUCCACUUGUGUUAUUGAAUAUUGGAUCUCCAACCGUUCACGUAAAAUCGGCGGUGAAACUGG